GUGGUAAGACACAGUGGAGGCCCGAACUCACCGCCGGUGAAAAGUUGGGAGAUGAGGUAGGUCUAGGGGUGAAAAGCCAAUCGAACCAGGAGAUAGCUCGUUCUCUCCGAAAUGCAUUUAGGUGCAGCCCUUAGUGUUCAAAUAUGUGGGUAGAGCACUGAAUGACCUAGGGGGCAUACUGCUUACCGAAGUCAAUCAACCUCCGAAUACCAUAAUUCUAGAGCUCAGGCGUGAGACUAUGGGAAUUAACUUCCAUGGUCAACAGCGAAACAACCCAGACCACCAGCUAAAGUCCCUAAUUAUACCUCAGUAGGACAGGAGGUGGAGAUUCACAAACAUCCAGGCGGUUGGCUUAGCAGCAGCCUUACCUUUCAAGCGCGCGUGCUCGCUCCCUGGUCCACAAUCCACGCUCCGACCAUCUACCCGGGCUUCGUUAUCCACC
rnacentral:rRNA from 1 species